AACGAUAAGUAUACAUUACUUUAUUUUGUUCAAGUGUUGAGUUCAGUUCAUUCAAUACUGUUCAUUAAAUUCUAUCCAUUAAAUUCAGUUCACUUCAUUUCAUAAAUUAACUGUUAUACGCCUUAUCUAGUUCAUGUCCUAAGUUAAGUUCAUACAGAUUAAUUGAUACUGAAUUAUUGACAAGAAAUGUUCACACAGAAGUAAUAAGGC
rnacentral:lncRNA from 1 species